CGUCGAGCUACUACGGUAGUGAAGUCAUUGAUGCCAUGCUUCCAGGAAAAGCCUCUAAGCUUCAGAUUGUAAGGAAUCGUACCCCAAACCGACACAGGUGGUCGGGUAGAGAAUACCAAGGCGCUUGAGAGAACUCGGGUGAAGGAACUAGGCAAAAUGGUACCGUAACUUCGGGAGAAGGUACGCUCUUGAUGGUGAAGUCCCUUGCGGAUGGAGCUGACGAGAGUCGCAGAUACCAGGUGGCUGCAACUGUUUAUUAAAAACACAGCACUGUGCAAAAUCGUAAGAUGACGUAUACGGUGUGACGCCUGCCCGGUGCCGGAAGGUUAAUUGAUGGGGUUAGCGUAAGCGAAGCUCUUGAUCGAAGCCCCGGUAAACGGCGGCCGUAACUAUAACGGUCCUAAGGUAGCGAAAUUCCUUGUCGGGUAAGUUCCGACCUGCACGAAUGGCGUAAUGAUGGCCACGCUGUCUCCACCCGAGACUCAGUGAAAUUGAAAUCGCUGUGAAGAUGCAGUGUACCCGCGGCUAGACGGAAAGACCCCGUGAACCUUUACUACAGCUUGGCACUGAACAUUGAACCUACAUGUGUAGGAUAGGUGGGAGGCUUUGAAGACGUGACGCCAGUUGCGUUGGAGCCGUCCUUGAAAUACCACCCUUGUAUGUUUGAUGUUCUAACGUUGGCCCCUAAUCGGGGUUGCGGACAGUGCCUGGUGGGUAGUUUGACUGGGGCGGUCUCCUCCCAAAGAGUAACGGAGGAGCACGAAGGUGGGCUAAUCACGGUUGGACAUCGUGAGGUUAGUGCAAUGGCAUAAGCCCGCUUAACUGCGAGAAUGACGGUUCGAGCAGGUGCGAAAGCAGGUCAUAGUGAUCCGGUGGUUCUGAAUGGAAGGGCCAUCGCUCAACGGAUAAAAGGUACUCCGGGGAUAACAGGCUGAUACCGCCCAAGAGUUCAUAUCGACGGCGGUGUUUGGCACCUCGAUGUCGGCUCAUCACAUCCUGGGGCUGAAGUCGGUCCCAAGGGUAUGGCUGUUCGCCAUUUAAAGUGGUACGCGAGCUGGGUUUAGAACGUCGUGAGACAGUUCGGUCCCUAUCUGCCGUGGGCGUUGGAAGAUUGAAGGGGGCUGCUCCUAGUACGAGAGGACCGGAGUGGACGAACCUCUGGUGUUCGGGUUGUGUCGCCAGACGCAUUGCCCGGUAGCUAAGUUCGGAAUCGAUAACCGCUGAAAGCAUCUAAGCGGGAAGCGAGCCCUGAGAUGAGUCUUCCCUGAUACUUUAAGUAUCCUAAAGGGUUGUUCGAGACUAGAACGUUGAUAGGCAGGGUGUGUAAGCGCUGUGAGGCGUUGAGCUAACCUGUACUAAUUGCCCGUGAGGCUUAACCAUACAACAC
rnacentral:rRNA from 1 species